CCUAAUGCUACAUUCCUCUUUAUUUCUCUGAACUGCAGUGAAACCCAGAGCUAAGGACGAAGGAAUUUUAAGCUUUUUUUUUUUUCAUAAAAGCAUUUUUUUUUUUAUAUGUGUAUCAUCGAGAUCCUAAAAGGUUAGGUCUCUCAAAAUGUCUCUCGAACUCAGGACUCGGGCAUUAGGUAACAAUUUUCAAAUGCCUUGAAGAUGAACUCCUGAUGGGAAGCUGUUUUCUUUAAUGUCUUAUUAAUAUUCUUCCUGGUUGAAAAGGGGGAAAUGGACCUAAUGAUUUCCCUAUGAAUAUAUUCUUGAAGCAAGUAAACCUGAAGACUGGAAAUCAAUAGCAAAUCGGUGAGAAGUCGCUGGUGCAUUGGAGACCAUUUGAACUCUGGAAUACGAAACAUUGUGGUGCGUGGACCUGGGCUGAACUGACGCCGCUGCUCCUCAGUCAUGGGCAUUCCUCGAAAUCCUAAAUCAACACGGAGAUCUCUGUCUUGCUGUGUGACAGACCGGCCCUGAACAGCCUAGAGAGAGAAAAGGAUUGUCUUACCAAUUUCUAGGGAAAGCUGUGCAGUUACCAUGCAGGAGCCAGCAGGGCCUAAGAGCCCAGGGACCUAAGAGCCCAGGAGACAACAGAAGCCAAGGAGACACCAGAGGCUGGAACAGACAAGGAGGCAAACCCUUCUGGGUCAGGAUCCUUUCCAAUAAGAACGCCUAGAAGCAAUGACAUCCAAAGAGUAAUCACCAUAACAAGCACACUGAACAUCUAGGUCCUGAUUUCUAAAAACCAUAUUCACCACAACAAUCCAGGGCUUCUUGAAGAAAUGGCUGAUUCCAGGACAGGGAUGAGGAAAGUGUAAGAUGAAUCAAGAACAUCUUGUGCAAGAAGGCAAAGAAAUACUAAAAAAUUAUGGACAUUUUUCAUAAAAACCCAAAAAUGCAUGCAAACGGGCUCCUACUGGCUAAAUCUGAGACAACUUGAACAUAAAAAUACAUACCGAUCCAAUUCAGGAGAUAGUCUUUGGGCUACAUCCAUCAAGCCAAUUUUAAGUUUCAUGAACCACCCCACACACAUUCAGUAACAAACUGUCUGUGGUUUUUUUGUUUGUUUUUUGUUUGUUUGUUUUUGAAACACAACGACUGCUUUCAACAGAAAUCUUAAGGCUCCCUAAAGCCUAAAAUAUUUGUGUCUGGCCCUUCCCAGAGAAAACCCAUCAACUACAUACUAAAUAAAACAGGAACCCAUGAAAUUUAUACUGAUAUAAAAAAUGAACAAAUAAAUAAAUGGAGGAGAAAUUCAAGUUUUUCCUACAGUAGAAUUCAAAAUAAUAAAUGCCUUAAAAAAUAUGGUCAUUUGGCAGUAAAGCUCUAUUCUGACAGGAGUCAUCAAUGAACUAAAACCAGUUAAGUGAAGAUUGUUGAAAAACAGUAUAUUUGCAUAUCCCAAUGUAUUUCUCCACCAAAUACUUACUAUUAGAAAAGAGAUAGUAGUGAUUUUACAAUGAAGAACCCUGGUAGACGCCACCUUAAUCAAAUAAUCAAUGUUAACAUCAUUACUACUAAGACAACUCAACAUCAUGUGCCUUUUGACAAGAUACAGUGAGACAGAACUGGUAUGACCUCCGUGUGAUACUUUCCAAAAAUGAAAAACCUAAAUCUUCAUCAGCAAAUAUCGAACAGACCCCAAAUAAGGGACAUUCUAAAAGGUAAUUUAACUGUUCAAAAAUGUCAAGGAUAUGGACAACAAGGAAAUACUACAAAAAAUUAUUCUGCAUUGAAGAAUAUUAAAAUGACAAGGCAACUAAAAGCAAUAAAAGAUCCUGAACUGGGAUUUAGGGGAAACAUUAUUUGUUUCCUAGAAAGAAUAUUAUUGAAUAACUGGUAAAAUUUCAGCAAGAUAUUUAGAUUAAAUGAUAGUAUUAUAUUAAGGUUAA